rnacentral:misc_RNA from 1 species
GAAAUGCGAUAAGUAGUGUGAAUUGCAGAAUUCAGUGAAUCAUCGAAUCUUUGAACGCACAUUGCGCCCCUUGGUAUUCCAUGGGGCAUGCCUGUUCGAGCGUCAUUUGUACCCUCAAGCUCUGCUUGGUGUUGGGUGUUUGUCCCGUCUCCGCGCGUGGACUCGCCCCAAAGUGAUUGGCAGCCGGCGUACUGGUCCCGGAGCGCAGCACAUGUCGCGCAAACGAGUGCCUUGGUACGGCGGCGUCCAUAAGCCCCUCUCUCACGCUCCUGACCUCGGAUCAGGUAGGGAUACCCGCUGAACUUAAGC